rnacentral:rRNA from 1 species
GACGAACGCUGGCGGCGUGCUUAACACAUGCAAGUCGAACGGAAAGGCCCUGCUUUUGUGGGGUGCUCGAGUGGCGAACGGGUGAGUAACACGUGAGUAACCUGCCCUUGACUUUGGGAUAACUUCAGGAAACUGGGGCUAAUACCGGAUAGGAGCUCCUGCUGCAUGGUGGGGGUUGGAAAGUUUCGGCGGUUGGGGAUGGACUCGCGGCUUAUCAGCUUGUUGGUGGGGUAGUGGCUUACCAAGGCUUUGACGGGUAGCCGGCCUGAGAGGGUGACCGGCCACAUUGGGACUGAGAUACGGCCCAGACUCCUACGGGAGGCAGCAGUGGGGAAUAUUGCACAAUGGGCGGAAGCCUGAUGCAGAAACGCCGCGUGCGGGAUGACGGCCUUCGGGUUGUAAACCGCUUUCGCCUGUGACGAAGCGUGAGUGACGGUAAUGGGUAAAGAAGCACCGGCUAACUACGUG